ACGAACGCUGGCGGUAGGCCUAACACAUGCAAGUCGGACGGCGGCACAGGAGAGCUUGCUCUCUGGGUGGCGAGUGGCGGACGGGUGAGGAAUACAUCGGAAUCUACUUUUUCGUGGGGGAUAACGUAGGGAAACUUACGCUAAUACCGCAUACGACCUACGGGUGAAAGCAGGGGACCUUCGGGCCUUGCGCGAUUGAAUGAGCCGAUGUCGGAUUAGCUAGUUGGCGGGGUAAAGGCCCACCAAGGCGACGAUCCGUAGCUGGUCUGAGAGGAUGAUCAGCCACACUGGAACUGAGACACGGUCCAGACUCCUACGGGAGGCAGCAGUGGGGAAUAUUGGACAAUGGGCGCAAGCCUGAUCCAGCCAUACCGCGUGGGUGAAGAAGGCCUUCGGGUUGUAAAGCCCUUUUGUUGGGAAAGAAAUCCAGCCGGUUAAUACCUGGUUGGGAUGACGGUACCCAAAGAAUAAGCACCGGCUAACUUCGUGCCAGCCGCCGCCGUAAAAC
rnacentral:rRNA from 1 species